GCUGGGCAUGGUGGCGCAUGCCUGUAAUCCCAGCUACUAGGGAGGCUGAAGCAGGAGAAUCGCUUGAACCCGGGAGGCGGAGGUUGGGAUGAGUUGAGAUUGUGCCAUUGCACUCCAGCCUGGGCAACAAGAGUGAAACUCCAUCUCAAAAAAUAAAUAAAUAAAAAAUAAAAACGUGUAUGGCUUCCCUUCAAGCAUAUGUCAGCUUACUACAUCAUAAGACUUCAUAAAAUAAAAAUUGCCCUAGGUUUUAAACUCCUAAAGUAAUUUACAAAAAAACAAAAAGCAUUACUAUGUAUGCAUUCGCUCUCCGUUCAGCCAGGGCAUCAACAUCUAUACUAAGUGUGGAGCUGAAGCAGCGAAGAAAACGCAGUUCCCCCAGCAGAGCAAUUUAUUUAUUUUAUUUUUGAGACAGAGUCUCGCUCUGUCACCCAGGCUGGAGUGCAGUGGCGUGAUCUCUGUUCACUCCCAGCAGAGCAAUUUAGCAAGAAGGUCUGGCCCUGCACUGUCCAGUGGGGC
rnacentral:lncRNA from 1 species